rnacentral:rRNA from 1 species
UACGUAGGGUGCAAGCGUUGUCCGGAAUUAUUGGGCGUAAAGAGCUCGUAGGCGGUCUGUCGCGUCUGCUGUGAAAGCUCUGGAGCUUAACCCUGAGCUUGCAGUGGGUACGGGCAGACUAGAGUGCGGUAGGGGAGACUGGAAUUCCUGGUGUAGCGGUGAAAUGCGCAGAUAUCAGGAGGAACACCGGUGGGCGAAGGCGGGUCUCUGGGCCGAUACUGAC